rnacentral:rRNA from 1 species
GAUGAACGCUGGCGGCGUGCUUAACACAUGCAAGUCGAACGGAAAGGCCUCUGCUUGCAGGGGUACUCGAGUGGCGAACGGGUGAGUAACACGUGGGUGAUCUGCCCUGCACUUCGGGAUAAGCCUGGGAAACUGGGUCUAAUACCGGAUAGGACAAUGGUUUGGAUGCUGUUGUGGAAAGUUUUUCGGUGUGGGAUGAGCUCGCGGCCUAUCAGCUUGUUGGUGGGGUAAUGGCCUACCAAGGCGUCGACGGGUAGCCGGCCUGAGAGGGUGUACGGCCACAUUGGGACUGAGAUACGGCCCAGACUCCUACGGGAGGCAGCAGUGGGGAAUAUUGCACAAUGGGUGCAAGCCUGAUGCAGCGACGCCGCGUGGGGGAUGACGGCCUUCGGGUUGUAAACUCCUUUCGCUAGGGACGAAGCGUUUUUGUGACGGUACCUGGAGAAGAAGCACCGGCUAACUACGUG